CCAUCAUGGUCAUGGUGAUGGUCGUGACCAUGAUCAUGGUGAUGGUGAUGAUGAUGGUCAUGAUCAUGAUCGUGGUGAUGAUCGUGAUCGUGCCAA
rnacentral:miRNA from 1 species